UUUUCACCAUGACAUGGACUCUACUAUUCCUUGCCUUCCUUCAUCACUUAACAGGGUCAUGUGCCCAGUUUGUGCUUACUCAGCCAAACUCUGUGUCUACGUCUCUAGGAAGCACAGUCAAACUGUCUUGCAAGCGCAGCACUGGUAACAUUGGAAGCAACUAUGUGUACUGGUACCAGCAGCAUGAGGGAAGAUCUCCCACCACUAUGAUUUAUAAUGAUGAUAAGAGACCGGAUGGAGUUCCUGAUAGGUUCUCUGGCUCCAUUGACAGCUCUUCCAACUCAGCCUUCCUGACAAUCAAUAAUGUGCAAAUUGAUGAUGAAGCUGUCUACUUCUGUCAGUCAUAUGAUAGCACAGUGAUGUGA